rnacentral:rRNA from 1 species
UAACACGUGAGUAACCUGCCCCUGACUCUGGGAUAACCCCGGGAAACCGGAGCUAAUACCGGAUAUGACACCAACGGGCAUCCGUAUGGUGUGGAAAGUUUUUUCGGUCUGGGAUGGACUCGCGGCCUAUCAGCUUGUUGGUGAGGUAAUGGCUCACCAAGGCGACGACGGGUAGCCGGCCUGAGAGGGCGACCGGCCACACUGGGACUGAGACACGGCCCAGACUCCUACGGGAGGCAGCAGUGGGGAAUAUUGCACAAUGGGCGGAAGCCUGAUGCAGCGACGCCGCGUGAGGGAUGACGGCCUUCGGGUUGUAAACCUCUUUCAGCGGGGAAGAAGCGCAAGUGACGGUACCUGCAGAAGAAGCACCGGCUAACUACGUGCCAGCAGCCGCGGUAAUACGUAGGGUGCGAGCGUUGUCCGGAAUUAUUGGGCGUAAAGAGCUUGUAGGUGGUUUGUCGCGUCUGCUGUGAAAAUCCGAGGCUCAACCUCGGACUUGCAGUGGGUACCGGCAGACUAGAGUGUGGUAGGGGAGACUGGAAUUUCUGGUGUA